CGCCGCCGCCGUCGCGUCUUCUCCUCCUCCCCGCCCUCUCGGUGCUCCUACCAGGCGAGCGCGAGCGCGAGCAGCCAGAGAGGAACGGCCACGGGCCUCUCCCUUAGCGGCGUCGGCGCCGGCGGCUCACUCUGCAGGCCCCCUGCCCCGUGGGGCUCAUUGCCCCCUCCCUCCGCGGCGCCGGUGCCGGCGGCUCCCUCCUCCGUAGGCUCCCUGCCUCGUGGGGCCUGGCGGCCUCGCGCGCGGACGACUCGUCGCCGGCGCCUCCUUCAACUAGAUCCUGUGCGCCAAGAAGGCCGUUGCUGCCUCCUGCAAGGACGAACCAGACGCCGUCGCCCAGGUGAGCUGAUUUGGACCUUUUCAUCUUGGUCUGUGCAGAAUUGGAGCCUUUGAAUGAUUUGAAUGGAGCAUACGUAUGCAUGCUACGGUUCAUCUUAGGAGAGGCACAACCUCUGGCACACCGAAGAGACAGACAUGGCUUCCAUGAAGAAUUUCGUCGAAGUGACUGCGGAUGACCCACAGGACUCCAGCAGCAACCAUAUUAUCAAAAGGUCAAGGAGCAACAAUUUGAUAUGCAUCCGUGAUAAAGAAGGUAAAACUUGAAUAUAGCCUCCUGCAACAUUAUAAGAUUACUUUGUGGUACAAAAUAUCAUGCACUGUCUUACACAUAAUUGUUGGCCAUUCUAAAAAUAUGGAUUCUACAUUGAAUUUGUCUUGGACUUCUUAAUUUAACCUCCGUGCAUGUUCUUAUGACAUUGAAUUUGAGCGAGCGAGCGAGAGGAGUACAUUACUUAUUCCACUUCUAAGCUACGCUUGUGCCCCUGUUCCUACGAAGUGUAUGGACGUGCCUAUAACUAAACAUAAAAAUAGGAUAGACACUAAAUGCUUUGAAGGAGCAGAGAUUGUAACUACACAGAAGCAUCACUAUGUAGGUAAUUGCUAUGAUAGUUAAGAUUAUUGUUGCUUGAUGCCGUGUCUAAGCUGCAGGUAUACCAUUGUUUUUGUACCUUUUCUAUUUAUAUGCUUCUACAGAGUACUUGGUGCAUGUACAUGCUUCACUAAAUCAUUUCCUUAUGAGCCAGAAUAAGAUUUUUAAAGUUGGUAGUUGCACUACAUGCUGAGAUUGUUCAUUUGUGAAGUACUUUGUGCAAAUGAUUAUUCUCGGUUCUUUGCCUCAUAUAACUACAAAUGAGGAGGUAUGAAGGGUCGACUAAGAAACUGAGUCAAACUACUUGAUUUAAGGUAUACUUUGGCAAUUUCCUUUGAUCCUUUUUGUUCCUCUUCUCACGUGUGUUAUUAGCCUUUUAACAAGCCUUUGUUUUCUAGAAUUUCUUCAAAUGUUGAGAAGAAUAUUUUGCUGAUUACUGAGUAGAUGAACUGGCAACAGGUGUAUAUUUGUUGUAGUUUUGAUGUAGUCACUGUUCAGUUCUUUUUUCAGAUGUUAUGUUUCUACAAUGUAAAAUCUGUUUCUGUGUAAACCCAUCACACACUUCUGCAUGCCUUAAUGAUCUUGUGCUUCUUUUCAUAGUAUAGAUGCAGCAUAGCUUGAUAUUAUUUUAGUUAGCACGGUGCAAAUCAUACCAAAAAAAAUACACAUGCUUGCCCUCUGUGAAGAACCACUAUUACUAUAUAUGUUCUACUUUGUACCGAAUCAUAUGUAUAUUGUGCUUGCCCCUAAAUUGUUGCUUUACACUAAACCACUAUUACUAUAUUAUGCUUUGAUAUGAGUUUUGGUGCUUUCUACUGAAAAUCAAGCUUUUAUGGAAAUUAUGCCCUUAUGUGAGUCUUCGGGCCUUGCUGAGUAUUUUUAUUGUUGUGAAGGCAUCAUCAUAGGUGAUUGUAGUUAAAUUGCCUCCUUCACACUUACAUCCACCAUCAAUCAGAUCUGGCAGCUACAUGGAGACAUGGAACGCACCAUCAUUUUGUCGGACCAAGUGUGGAGUUAGCUAUGGAAUUUACACCAUCAACAAACACAUAAAGGCCUGCAAGCUAUCCUCGCAAGUAGGGCAUUUACAUGCUCUAAGUCAAUCUGUUAGGGAGAAAACAAG